AAAAAAAUAUAAGACAUCGAGUUUGGAGUUUUUUUAUGUCAUCAUUGUAAUUAUUUUUUAAAAAUAGCGUCACCACAUCUUUUCUGCUUUAACCAAGGACUUUGUUCAUGAGUGCAAGAAAGAACAAAAGAAAGUUUUGUGUGAUUUCCCUUGACGAAAGUGUUUUCGUUGUCUUUGUUUGGAUAUUUCUUUAAUUUUUAUUGAUUGAUAUCCCUUUUUUGUUUAGUAUUAAUGUCCCGAACGCGAGUUCAAACUCCACCACUUUCAGAAAUAAGAACCGCUUCAUUCAAGAGUGCAAGGAAGAACAAAGGUCAGUUUUUUGUCAUUUACCUUACCUUGGUUUCCAUUUUGUUUGUGUUUUUAUGAAUUCAUUUCAUGUUUUUGUGCUCAUUGAAGCUCCACCACCUGCGACCACCAUAGGCGUGUUCUCCUUUCUCCCUCACCGGUGACAAUGCUUUAUUCCAAUAGCGAACCC
rnacentral:lncRNA from 1 species